ACUCAAAGGAAUAGACGGGGACCCGCACAAGCGGUGGAGCAUGUGGUUUAAUUCGAAGCAACGCGAAGAACCUUACCCGGGCUUGACAUCCCUUGGACCGCACCUUAAUCGGUGUUUCCCUUCGGGGCCAAGGAGACAGGUGGUGCAUGGUUGUCGUCAGCUCGUGUCGUGAGAUGUUGGGUUAAGUCCCGCAACGAGCGCAACCCUUAUCCUUAGUAGCCGGCAUUAAGUUGGGCACUCUAGGGAGACUGCCGGGGAAACCCGGAGGAAGGUGGGGAUGACGUCAAAUCAUCAUGCCCCUUAUGUCCGGGGCUACACACGUGCUACAAUGGCGUAAACAAAGGGAGGCAACCCGGCGACGGUGAGCAAAUCCCAAAAAUAACGUCUCAGUUCGGAUUGUAGUCUGCAACCCGACUACAUGAAGCCGGAAUCGCUAGUAAUCGUGAAUCAGCAUGUCGCGGUGAAUACGUUCCCGGGUCUUGUACACACCGCCCGU
rnacentral:rRNA from 1 species